rnacentral:rRNA from 1 species
UACGUAGGGUGCAAGCGUUAAUCGGAAUUACUGGGCGUAAAGCGUGCGCAGGCGGCUUUGCAAGACAGAUGUGAAAUCCCCGGGCUCAACCUGGGAACUGCAUUUGUGACUGCAUGGCUAGAGUACGGUAGAGGGGGAUGGAAUUCCGCGUGUAGCAGUGAAAUGCGUAGAUAUGCGGAGGAACACCGAUGGCGAAGGCAGCCUCCUGGGCUAGUACUGACGCUCAUGCACGAAAGCGUGGGGAGCAAACAGG